CGACCGGCGCACGGGUGAGUAACACGUAUCCAACCUGCCGUCUACUCUUGGACAGCCUUCUGAAAGGAAGGUUAAUACAAGAUGGCAUCAUGAGUCCGCAUGUUCACAUGAUUAAAGGUAUUCCGGUAGACGAUGGGGAUGCGUUCCAUUAGAUAGUAGGCGGGGUAACGGCCCACCUAGUCUUCGAUGGAUAGGGGUUCUGAGAGGAAGGUCCCCCACAUUGGAACUGAGACACGGUCCAAACUCCUACGGGAGGCAGCAUG
rnacentral:rRNA from 1 species